rnacentral:rRNA from 1 species
ACGUACACUCCUACGGGAGGCAGCAGUGAGGAAUAUUGGACAAUGGGUGGAAGCCUGAUCCAGCCAUCCCGCGUGCAGGAAGACGGCCCUAUGGGUUGUAAACUGCUUUUAUCUGGGGAUAAACCUACUUACGUGUAAGUAGCUGAAGGUACCAGAAGAAUAAGCACCGGCUAACUCCGUGCCAGCAGCCGCGGUAAUACGGAGGGUGCAAGCGUUAUCCGGAUUUAUUGGGUUUAAAGGGUCCGUAGGCGGACUGAUAAGUCAGUGGUGAAAUCCGACAGCUUAACUGUCGAACUGCCAUUGAUACUGUUAGUCUUGAGUAAGGUUGAAGUGGCUGGAAUAAGUAGUGUAGCGGUGAAAUGCAUAGAUAUUACUUAGAACACCAAUUGCGAAGGCAGGUCACUAAGUCUUAACUGACGCUGAUGGACGAAAGCGUGGGGAGCGAACAGGAUUAGAAACCCGUGUAGUCC